UACGUAGGUGGCGAGCGUUGUCCGGAUUUACUGGGCGUAAAGGGCGUGCAGGCGGUUUGUUAAGUGCAGGGUGAAAGCUCCCGGCUCAACUGGGAGAGGUCCUUGCAUACUGGCGAACUCGAGGGAGGCAGAGGAAAGUGGAAUUCCAGGUGUAGCGGUGAAAUGCGUAGAUAUCUGGAGGAACACCGGUGGCGAAGGCGGCAUCCUGGACCGGCAUUGACGCUGAGGAGCGAAAGCCAGGGGAGCAAACGGG
rnacentral:rRNA from 1 species